GGGGCCCGGCCCCGGCGCGGCCGGCUCGGCGUCCUAGGCCCGGGGUGAUACUAGUUUUAAAGGAAGGAGGACUUGCACUGUUCUAUAGCUUGGAGGCUGUGUGGGGUCUAAAGUAACAAGUAUCCGUUUGAAGCGGUUUCAAAGAAAUAAGCGUCCCCUUCCUCUGGCUGGAAUGGAAGCACCCACAGGCUGGGAAUCCCGAGACUGUUCCAGGGCUGUGGCCCUGGGGACACGUGCGUGUCCGAGUGGGAGACGGCGUCCGUGUGUGCGUGUGUGUGCGAGUGUAGACAGCAAAGGGCCCCUGCCUCGGACCCCUGGGGCGGGGUGUGUGGCGGUAAAAGAAAUUAAGCACGAUAAAGCACCGACUGUGUGCGAGGGCAACGAUGAUUAAAACAACGUCCCUUUUCUGAAGGAUGUUACACUCGGGCAAAGGGGGCAGAAGGUGGCAAGAGAAAUCAGACCAUAAAGUUCUGCAAGCUAGAUUAAGAUCAGUGCCGCAAGAUGCCACAAGAGUCAGAGGUUACAACAGGCCCAGGGGUUCUAGAAGGUUCGUUAGAAGAAUUGGCGUUUGAGUUGGUCCCGGACCAUGACGUGGAGGGCUAGAAUUUACACAUGUGGAAUUUGGGAGGGAGUAGUGGUGAUUUAUAAAUGAAAAAAGCAAAUGAGCAGAAAAGCCCUGGGUGUAUUUGGGGAAACAACUCCUCUUAGUUAUGUAAGAUGGAGGCUAAGAAGACAGAUGCUUGGAUAGGUUAUAUUGUGGCAGGCAAAGAUUGUACUAGACUCAGUUCGAUGAAAAGACAAGAAAAGGACACUAGCCGAGAUAGAUACUCCACACCUGCACCAGGUUAAUGGUACUGGACAAUGGAUGGAAGAGACAUUUCAGGCUGGAGUGCAGUCACAGGAUCAUAGCUCACUGCAGCUUC